CCUACGGGAGGCUGCCGUGGGGAAUAUUGGACAAUGGGGGCAACCCUGAUCCAGCCAUGCCGCGUGUGUGAAGAAGGCCCUCGGGUUGUAAAGCACUUUCAGUGAGGAAGAACGCCUGGUGGUUAAUACCCAUCAGGAAAGACAUCACUCACAGAAGAAGCACCGGCUAACUCCGUGCCAGCAGCCGCGGUAAUACGGAGGGUGCGAGCGUUAAUCGGAAUUACUGGGCGUAAAGCGCGCGUAGGUGGCUUGAUAAGCCGGUUGUGAAAGCCCCGGGCUCAACCUGGGAACGGCAUCCGGAACUGUCAAGCUAGAGUGCAGGAGAGGAAGGUAGAAUUCCCGGUGUAGCGGUGAAAUGCGUAGAGAUCGGGAGGAAUACCAGUGGCGAAGGCGGCCUUCUGGACUGACACUGACACUGAGGUGCGAAAGCGUGGGUAGCAAACAGGAUUAGAUACCCUGGUAGUC
rnacentral:rRNA from 1 species